GGCAAGUCUGGUGCCCAGCAGCCGCGGUAAUUCCAGCUCCAAUAGCGUAUAUUAAAGUUGUUGCGGUUAAAAAGCUCGUAGUUGGUUCUGCGUGCUACGCUGUCGGUUCGCCGCCUGCCGGUGUAACUGGCAUGUCGUGGCAUGUCCUGUCGGUGGCGUGCGGGAGCCGGAGGCACCCGGUUCACCGGGACCGUCUUCGGUCAACCCCGCUCGCCUACUCUAUCCUACCUAGGUGCUCUUCACCGAGUGUCGAGGUAGGCCGACACGUUUACUUUGAACAAAUUAGAGUGCUCAAAGCAGGCUGAAAUUUCUGCCUGAAUAGUGGUGCAUGGAAUAAUGAAACAGGACCUUGGUUCUAUUUUGUUGGUUCUUAAGAACACAAGGUAAUGAUCAAUACGGACAGGCGGGGGCAUUCGUAUUGCGACGUUAGAGGUGAAAUUCUUGGAUCGUCGCAAGACGCACAAGAGCGAAAGCAUUUGCCAAGUAUGUCUUGAUUGAUCAAGAACGAAAGUUAGAGGUUCGAAGGCGAUCAGAUACCGCCCUAGUUCUAACCAUAAACGAUGCCAGCCAGCGAUCCGCCGACGUUCCUCCGAUGACUCGGCGGGGAGCUUCUUCCCGGGAAACCAAAGCUUUUGGGUUCCGGGGGAAGUAUGGUUGCAAAGCUGAAACUUAAAGGAAUUGACGGAAGGGCACCACCAGAAAUUUGACUCAACACGGGAAACCUCACCAGGCCAGGACAUUGGAAGGAUUGACAGAUUGAUAGCUCUUUCUUGAUUCAGUGGGUAGUGGUGCAUGGCCGUUCUUAGUUGGUGGAUCGAUUUGUCUGGUUAAUUCCGAUAACGAACGAGACUCUAGCCUAUUAACUAGGCGUUUUCCGGUGCCCUCGUCACCGGCGACACUCAUUCUUCUUAAGGGGACAGGCGGCUUAUAGCCGCACGAGAUUGAGCAAUAACAGGUCUGUGAUGCCCUUAGAUGUCCUGGGCCGCACGCGCGCUACACUGAAGGAAUCAGCGUGUGCCUCCCUGGCCGAAAGGUCCGGGUAAUCCGCUGAAACUCCUGCGUGCUAGGAAUUGGGGCUUGCAAUUGUUCCCCAUGAACGAGGAAUUCCCAGUAAGCGCGAGUCAUAAGCUUGCGCUGAUUACGUCCCUGCCCUUUGUACACACCGCCCGUCGCUACUACCGAUUGAAUGAUUUAGUGAGGUCUUCGGACUGGCGGUAAUC
rnacentral:rRNA from 1 species